rnacentral:lncRNA from 1 species
AGCUUUGACAUUCUUCUGUCAAGUCACCUUGCAAGUCUCAUGCUUUCUGGAUUCACUGCAGAUUAGAGUACCCAGAAUUAGCCAAGACCUUCAACAUUUAAUGACUAGCCACAGAGAAGAAAUAAGAUGAACUGCUUGUCCCAGAAAGCGAUAGAACUUUGAAAGCAGCUAUAUAUUUCCUAGCUACCUCUAAAAAAUGGAGCUGUCUUCCUGAGACCUGUAAGAAGCCAACAGUUUUCCUCACUGCCACCAUGUGAAGAAGGAUGUGUUUGUUUCCCUUCCUCCAUGAUUUCCUGGAGGCAGGGAAAUCUAAGAUCAAGGCACCAGCAGAUUUGGUUUUUGAUGUGGUCUCUUUUCCUGGCUUGUACUUAGCUGCUGCCUUGCUGUGUCCUCAUGUGGCCAAGAGAAUCAAAUGGAGGUUCCCAUGAUUUUCUUUUUCCUCAUGGAAACGUGUUUGGUCAGAAGGGAAACAAACCAAUUAAGGUGAUACCAAAGGAUGAUCCUUGAUACAGUUAUAUUUUGGUGGAGCGUUGAGAUUCGCCAGUGAACUCUAACAGUGAGGAUGGCACUGGAAUAAAAAGAGAAGAAACAUGUACUAGAAGCC